rnacentral:rRNA from 1 species
UACGGAGGGUGCGAGCGUUGUUCGGAGUCACUGGGCGUAAAGGGCGUGUAGGCGGUCCGCUAAGUCUGAUGUGAAAGCCCGGGGCUCACCCCCGGAAGUGCAUUGGAAACUGGCGGACUCGAGUCCCGGAGAGGAGAGUGGAAUUCCUGGUGUAGCGGUGAAAUGCGUAGAUAUCAGGAGGAACACCAGUGGCGAAGGCGGCUCACUGGACCGGAACUGACGCUGAUGCGCGAAAGCGUGGGGAGCAAACGGG